UGGAACCCAUCGGCUUUCUGUAGCACUUUCCCAAAACCACUGGAGUUUGCAGAGAUCUGUGAUCACCUUUAGUUCCAGCCUCAUCCUGUCCAUCUCGGUGCCUGUACAGAACUCCCCAAAGCGCACUUGAACUGAGCCUGAACUAACCAUGGAUGAGCUGACGGUGGAAAACUGUGGGAGCAGGAGUGGUUGCAACUGUAUCAUGGUAAGAAUAAAAAGAAAGCAAGUUCCAAAGGGUGGAGCCAAGCAGCCAGCAAAGACCACAGAUCCUGCCGUAACGAGGAAGACAAAGCAGAAGUGUGCGGUGAAGGCUGGGGACAUGCCUCACACGCUGUGAGAUCAUGAGGACCCGAGUUCAGAUUCCAGCAUCCGUGGAAAAGACACUUGGCCAGACAUCAACCUGUGGUUUUCACAGUUACACACCACA